GCAACUCGCCUACAUGAAGUCGGAGUUGCUAGUAAUCGCGGAUCAGAAUGCCGCGGUGAAUGCGUUCCCGGGUCUUGUACACACCGCCCGUCACACCAUGGAAGUUGGGGGCGCCCGAAGUUGGUCGAGGAAUAGAUUACCUAAGGCGAAACCAAUGACUGGGGUGAAGUCGUAACAAGGUAAC
rnacentral:rRNA from 1 species